rnacentral:rRNA from 1 species
AGCUCCAAUAGCGUAUAUUAAAGUUGCUGCAGUUAAAAAGCUCGUAGUUGGAUUUGUGGCGCGGCCGUCCGGCGGGGGUCCUUCUAUGGUCUCGUUUGUCCUGGUUUUCGGCCGCUCCUUUCUCGGGUAGAGCGUAAUGGCUGGCAUUAGGUUGUCGGCCGCUUCGCGCCCGUCGUUUACUGUGAAAAAAUUAGAGUGUUCAAAGCAGGCUUAGGCCGUUGAAUAUAUUAGCAUGGAAUAAUGAGAUAGGUCUAGGGUCCUAUUUUGUUGGUUUGCGGUUCUUAGAAAUGAUUAACAGGGACAGUUGGGGGUAUUCGUAUUCCAUUGUCAGAGGUGAAAUUCUUGGAUUUUUGGAAGACGAACUACUGCGAAAGCAUUUACCAAGGAUGUUUUCAUUAAU